CUCUGCUUCAUGUAACCGUGAAAACAGCGCAGACGCAGUGAAACCAAGCCGCGGAACGGUUGGGUGUUAACAAAUGACUCAGAUGCAAACCAAUUAACGAACAGAAUUUGAAGGAAAAAAAAAAAGAAUCCUGUUUUGUGAUAAGUAUCUCUGGAUCUAAUGACCACACAGAAAGUGUGUUUCAAUUAUGAAUAAUACGUGGACUGAUGUGAUAAACAGGCGUUCAGCUGAACUCAUUAAAAGUGAACUGCAAAUUGCAUUCAGAAUUAUUCAAUUGUGUGGAAGAUGGCACAAAUAAUUUUUUCCACUUGCAAAAUCUGAAAAUCAGAUCACGACUAGAAAAAGAAAGACAAGACUGGUCACUACCACUCACAUGAGUAACAUCAUUGGAACUAGUAGAGAAAUGCUGCCUUCUCAACGCCCAACUCUGUGUGAUGUUCUAAGAUAUGGGCUUCUGCUAAGACAACAGAGGGGAGAGAAUGUCAGAAAUUAUGAAGUAGCCACUCUUGCAAAGGAUAUUUAUAUUUAUCAGAAAGUGCUUCAAAAGUGUGGGCUAGCAAACAUUUGUUUUGUGGCGACAAUUUUAAAUUCGAGAGUCACAGUCCUGAAGAAAAUAGAAGAAAACUGGGAAAAGGCCGAAAUCUUAUCACCUGGCAGAGGAAAGCUUGAAAUGAAGGCGGCUUUCACAGCAAUGUUAGACAAGCUUUUCGAUAUCCUUAGUUGCAAGUGUGAAAUUAAGCUAUGUUCAGAAUUUGAGGGUCCAUGUCCAGAUGGUGCUGACUGUAAACAGGAAGUGCACAUCUCCAAGUGUUUAUUAAAGGUCAAAGAGAGAAGGUUGGAUCUGUUGGACAGGAGCACAUUCAAUUACCCAAUAUAUCUGAGCACAGUCAAAGUAAAAAGCACAAGAGGUAAUAAGACAAAUUAAAAAUAAUUUCUGAAUAUAUGCAGCAAAUGAAGGAAGAAAACUGGCUCUGAGCACUAUGGGACUUAACAUCUGAGGUCAUCAGUCCCAUAGAACUUAGAACUACUUAAACCUAACUAACCUAAGGACAUCACAGACAUCCAUGCCCCAGGCAGGAUUCGGACCUGCGACCGUAGCGGUCUCGCAGUUCCAGACUGUAGCCCCUAGAACCGCUCAGCCACUCCGGCCGGCAAAUGAAAGAAGAGUUAACAUUACAACCAAAUGAAAUUCUUUUCUACUAACAAGGUGAAGAGACAACUGAUAUUAAAGAUGAAGAUUCUGAAGAUCCUUUGCAGAUACCAUGUGAUGAUUCUGACAUACUUUCUACUUCAAUUGUAUGGCAGUAUAAGACAUUACAGUUGCAUAACAUUGCAUUGCGAAGUAUUAGGUAUGUGCUACAGCUGCUGUUACAACUACUGCAUAUUUGGUUCUGUGUUAAUUACUGAAUGAAACAGGAGACUUGUGGUUGAUCACAAUGAGUUAAAAGGAGCAAAGGAAAAGUCAUGACACAACUUGAUGAAGAAUUUCAUGAUCAGUGCAGGACAGGCAAGAGUUAAUGUAUUUUCUUUGAUGGAUGCCAAGAUUCUACUAUCAUCUGUCACAAAGCAGGUAACUGAAGUAAUCAGUCUCCAACUGUUGUGAAAGGAUAGCAUUACUGUUUGCAGUGAGACGGGUGGAAGAUACCAUUGCCAUUUGAGACUUAAUGAAAAGAAAACCUGCUGAAGUUAUUGCUAAUCAUCUUUUGGCUAUAUUUAUGAAAAACAGCAUUGAUUAAAAUUUGCAGGCUAUUGACAGUGACUCAACAAAUUUCAACACUGGUCGGAAAGGAGUAGUCAAGACAUUGGGUUGAGACAAAGCAGAAUCGUAAACUUAUCUGGUUGUUUUGUGCUCUUCAUACUAAUAAACUACCUUUGCAUCACUUGAUCAAACAGUUGAAUGAGAAAACUUUGUCUACCAACAAAUGGAGUGAUAAGAUUGGCAAGAUGUUUGAUAGUACAACAGAACUUGAAAUCAAUCCCUCAUUUGUCAGAAUAUCUUUUCCAUACCCUUCAGUUCCACAGAGUGACUCUGCUGUCAAAAAUCUCUUUAUAGAUCUGGCCUAUAGUUACAGGAUAACUCAUUCUAUAAGGACAGGUGGACCAACUCUAACUGUUCUGCCAUUAUUAGAAAUUGGCCCUGUAAGGCCACUCUCAGUGGUUAACAACUGCAAACAGGAUUUGCCGCAUAUGCUUUUUGAAAUUUGGCCUUAAAGACAACAGCUUGAAGGUGUUACAAUUUCUUAUGGAGUAUAUUAUAGGCAUUUACUAUCCCUGCUGGUUUAAUGUCAAAUCUAAUUACUCUCGGGUGAAAGAAGGCAGUAGCAGAUAUUAUUUAGCCAACAUUCAUCAUGCUUUGCAUUUAGUGAAAUGAUGCUUGAGACACUUUUAUGCUCAGAAGAACAAGAAGAAAGGAAAGCAGGGGUCCAGAAGAUAACUAAACUGACAAAUGGAGAUGAUGAUACACCAGGAGACCUAUCUGUUCACCCUAGGAAAACUCUUGCAGUAAAUACAAAUAUUAACCUCCAUUUACUUGUAAACUCAAAAUAUCAGACAUUAGGAAGUUUGUUCAAGAGCCUAUAGAAGUUCCAAAGUGGCCAUGUCAUGGGAAGUCCAUAGAAAGGUGAGUGGAACAAGUAACAGAUGCUCCUGUCUGAGUUAUACUCAAGAGAAAUGAGAAGGAUAAAUUAGAUGCCAGGAAGUAAGCAGAAGAAUGAUGUCUAGGAAUGAAUCAAAGUAAGACUUGAUAAAUAUUGUUGGU